rnacentral:rRNA from 1 species
AUUGAACGCUGGCGGCAGGCCUAACACAUGCCAGUCGAGCGGAUGAAGGGAGCUUGCUCCUGGAUUCAGCGGCGGACGGGUGAGUAAUGCCUAGGAAUCUGCCUGGUAGUGGGGGAUAACGUCCGGAAACGGGCGCUAAUACCGCAUACGUCCUGAGGGAGAAAGUGGGGGAUCUUCGGACCUCACGCUAUCAGAUGAGCCUAGGUCGGAUUAGCUAGUUGGUGGGGUAAAGGCCUACCAAGGCGACGAUCCGUAACUGGUCUGAGAGGAUGAUCAGUCACACUGGAACGGAGACACGGUCCAGACUCCUACGGGAGGCAGCAGUGGGGAAUAUUGGACAAUGGGCGAAAGCCUGAUCCAGCCAUGCCGCGUGUGUGAAGAAGGUCUUCGGAUUGUAAAGCACUUUAAGUUGGGAGGAAGGGCAGUAAGUUAAUACCUUGCUGUUUUGACGUUACCAACAGAAUAAGCACCGGCUAACUUCGUG